ensembl:piRNA 21ur-6543 ncRNA
UUGACUUAAAAUGAAACUACG